UACAGAGGGUGCAAGCGUUAAUCGGAGUUACUGGGCGUAAAGGGCGCGUAGGCGGUACUAUGAGUGUGAUGUGAAAGCCCCGGGCUUAACCUGGGAAGGGCAUCGCAAACGAUAGAACUGGAGUAGAUGAGAGGGUGGCGGAAUUUCCGGUGUAGCGGUGAAAUGCGUAGAGAUCGGAAGGAACGUCGAUGGCGAAGGCAGCCACCUGGCAUCAUACUGACGCUGAGGCGCGAAAGCGUGGGGAGCGAACAGG
rnacentral:rRNA from 1 species